rnacentral:rRNA from 1 species
CCUACGGGUGGCAGCAGUGGGGAAUAUUGCACAAUGGGGGAAACCCUGAUGCAGCGACGCCGCGUGAGUGAAGAAGUAAGUCGUUAUGUAAAGCUCUAUCAGCAGGGAAGAAAAUGACGGUACGUGAGUAAGAAGCCCCGGCUAACUACGUGCCAGCAGCCGCGGUAAUACGUAGGGGGCAAGCGUUAUCCGGAUGUACUGGGUGUAAAGGGAGCGUAGACGGCAGUGCAAGUCUGGAGUGAAAGGCGGGGGCUCAACCCCCGGACUGCUCUGGAAACUGUACGGCUGGAGUGCGGGAGAGGUAAGUGGAAUUCCUGGUGUAGCGGUGAAAUGCGUAGAUAUUAGGAGGAACACCAGUGGCGAAGGCGGCUUACUGGACUGUAACUGACGUUGAGGCUCGAAGGCGUGGGGAGCAAACAGGAUUAGAUACCCCAGUAGUC